AUAUAUAUAUAUAUAUAUAUAUAUAUAUAUAAAUAACCCGUAAAUAUUUCUCUAGACCACUGCUAGUUCACUCUUUUGCCUAUUGACUUCAAAGCGCCACGCUGUAGGAUGGUAAGAUUUUAAUAUAUUGAGCCUUCUGGCCCCUUCUCGAUGCCCUGUUCUUUCCUAUUCCAUCUUCCCUCCGUUUAUUUUAUUUUAUUCACUCUGAUAAAGCUCCAUCUACUAGAUCGAAUGUGCUAUGAAGAUGACAAAUAUUAUUUUCGGAAUUUCUUUCGUAAGCACCGACUAACAUUGGAAGCGGAAACGGCCGUAAGAAAUGUUAUGUCAUGUUUUGUAUUAGAAAAUAAUCUAC